rnacentral:rRNA from 1 species
CCAUAUUGGGUGAUAGCCCCGUACACGAAAAUCUCUUAUCAAUGAAAUCGAGUAGGACGGAGCACGAUAAACUUUGUCUGAAUAUGGGGGUACCAUCCUCCAAGUCUAACUACUACUGACUGACCGAUAGUGAACUAGUACCGUGAGGGAAAGGCGAAAAGAACCCCGGGAGGGGAGUGAAAUAGAUCCUGAAACCGCGUGCUUACAAAAAGUAGGAGCCUCGUAAGGGGUGACUGCGUACCUUUUGUAUAAUGGGUCAGCGACUUACAUUCAGUAGCAAGGUUAACCGCAUAGGGGAGCCGUAGAGAAAUCGAGUCUUAAUAGGGCGUUUAGUUGCUGGGUGUAGACCCGAAACCGGGUGAUCUAUCCAUGAGCAGGUUGAAGGUUGGGUAACACUAACUGGAGGACCGAACCCACUGUCGUUGAAAAGCCAGGGGAUGACUUGUGGAUAGGGGUGAAAGGCUAAUCAAACUCGGUGAUAGCUGGUUCUCCCCGAAAGCUAUUUAGGUAGCGCCUCGGACGAAUACCAUUGGGGGUAGAGCACUGUUUCGGCUAGGGGGUCAUCCCGACUUACCAAACCGAUGCAAACUCCGAAUACCUACAAGUGCCGAGCAUGGGAGACACACGGCGGGUGCUAACGUCCGUCGUGAAAAGGGAAACAACCCAGACCGUCAGCUAAGGUCCCAAAGUUAUGGUUAAGUGGGAAACGAUGUGGGAAGGCUUAGACAGC